AUUGAACGCUGGCGGAAUGCUUUACACAUGCAAGUCGAACGGCAGCACGGGGGCAGCCCUGGUGGCGAGUGGCGAACGGGUGAGUAAUACAUCGGAACGUGCCCGGUCGUGGGGGAUAACGUAGCGAAAGUUACGCUAAUACCGCAUACGAUCUGAGGAUGAAAGCGGGGGACCUUCGGGCCUCGCGCGAUCGGAGCGGCCGAUGUCAGAUUAGGUAGUUGGUGGGGUAAAGGCCUACCAAGCCGACGAUCUGUAGCUGGUCUGAGAGGACGACCAGCCACACUGGGACUGAGACACGGCCCAGACUCCUACGGGAGGCAGCAGUGGGGAAUUUUGGACAAUGGGCGCAAGCCUGAUCCAGCCAUUCCGCGUGCAGGACGAAGGUCUUCGGGUUGCAAACUGCUUUUGUACGGAACGAAAAGGCUCUGGCUAAUACCUGGGGCUCAUGACGGUACCGUAAGAAUAAGCACCGGCUAACUACGUG
rnacentral:rRNA from 1 species